rnacentral:tRNA from 1 species
GUUUAUGUAGUUUAUAAAAACAUUACAUUUUCAAUGUAAAAAUAAAAGGAAUCUUUUCAUAAAUA